AACCCAUCGGACAGGUGACUCAUUCUUGCCUUUCUUGCGAUUUUUCACGAGUGGGUUCCAUCUCCUGAAAAGAAAUUGGUCUGCUUCUGCAUCUUCUGAAUAGGUUCUCGGACAUGGCUUCAGCCCUUGGAAGACCAGGUUAUUGCGGCCCUUCCAGAUCCGCCAAAGUAUUCCAGCGAAAAGCUCGUUCGACAGUGAAGUAGAGUCCGAGAGGAUGAACAAGUGUUCCAAUGUUUCUGGUGCUCGACCACAAACAGGGCACAGUGGGUCAGGUACAAUAUUUCUCUUAAAGAGAUUUUCUUUCGUGGGGAGGGCAUUGUUGCAUAUGCUCCACAAGAAAAACUUGAUCUUUGGGUAAGUGUGCAAUAGCCAAAUUGAAUUCCACAACUUUCUGGGAGGCUGGUAAGAUGAGGAUGCGUGGUUACUGUUAUUGAUAAAAACUCCUGAGUGGACUUUGUUGUACCCACUUUUAACUGAAUAUUCCCCAGAGCCAUUGCCAGUCCAUAUUAAUUUGUCUUUCGUCAUGUUGGAACUGAGUGGAAUAGCUAGGAUCUCCCUUUUCAGGUUUUCAU